rnacentral:rRNA from 1 species
UACAGAGGUCCCGAGCGUUGUUCGGAUUCACUGGGCGUAAAGGGUGCGUAGGUGGUUAGGUAAGUCCGAUGUGAAAUCUCCAGGCCCAACCUGGAAAUGGCAUUGGAUACUAUUUAGCUUGAGGAGUGGAGGGGGGACUGGAAUUCUCGGUGUAGCAGUGAAAUGUGUAGAUAUCGAGAGGAACACCCAGUGGCGAAGGCGAGUCCCCUGGACACUUCCUGACACUGAGGCACGAAAGCUAGGGGGAGCAAAACGG